CCUACGGGUGGCAGCAGUGAGGAAUAUUGGUCAAUGGACGAGAGUCUGAACCAGCCAAGUAGCGUGAAGGAUGACUGCCCUAUGGGUUGUAAACUUCUUUUAUAUGGGAAUAAAACGUUCCACGUGUGGGAUUUUGUAUGUACCAUAUGAAUAAGGAUCGGCUAACUCCGUGCCAGCAGCCGCGGUAAUACGGAGGAUCCGAGCGUUAUCCGGAUUUAUUGGGUUUAAAGGGAGCGUAGGUGGAUUGUUAAGUCAGUUGUGAAAGUUUGCGGCUCAACCGUAAAAUUGCAGUUGAAACUGGCAGUCUUGAGUACAGUAGAGGUGGGCGGAAUUCGUGGUGUAGCGGUGAAAUGCUUAGAUAUCACGAAGAACUCCGAUUGCGAAGGCAGUUCACUGGACUGCAACUGACACUGAGGCUCGAAAGUGUGGGUAUCAAACAGGAUUAGAUACCCUGGUUC
rnacentral:rRNA from 1 species